rnacentral:rRNA from 1 species
AGACCCGAAACCCGGUGAUCUAGCCAUGGGCAGGUUGAAGGUUGGGUAACACUAACUGGAGGACCGAACCGACUAAUGUUGAAAAAUUAGCGGAUGACCUGUGGCUGGGGGUGAAAGGCCAAUCAAACCGGGAGAUAGCUGGUUCUCCCCGAAAGCUAUUUAGGUAGCGCCUCGUGAAUUCAUCUCCGGGGGUAGAGCACUGUUUCGGCUAGGGGGCCAUCCCGGCUUACCAACCCGAUGCAAACUGCGAAUACCGGAGAAUGUUAUCACGGGAGACACACGGCGGGUGCUAACGUCCGUCGUGAAGAGGGAAACAACCCAGACCGCCAGCUAAGGUCCCAAAGUCAUGGUUAAGUGGGAAACGAUGUGGGAAGGCCCAGACAGCCAGGAUGUUGGCUUAGAAGCAGCCAUCAUUUAAAGAAAGCGUAAUAGCUCACUGGUCGAGUCGGCCUGCGCGGAAGAUGUAACGGGGCUAAACCAUGCACCGAAGCUGCGGCAGCGAACGUAUCACCCAAGACAACUUUACGGAGUUGACGAUUGACGGAGCGAAGCGACGUCAAAGCGUUCAUUAAAGUCGAGUUGGCUUAGGGAUACGUUCGUUGGGUAGGGGAGCGUUCUGUAAGCCUGUGAAGGUGUGUCGUGAGGCAUGCUGGAGGUAUCAGAAGUGCGAAUGCUGACAUAAGUAACGAUAAAGCGGGUGAAAAGCCCGCUCGCCGGAAGACCAAGGGUUCCUGUCCAACGUUAAUCGGGGCAGGGUGAGUCGACCCCUAAGGCGAGGCCGAAAGGCGUAGUCGAUGGGAAACGGGUUAAUAUUCCCGUACUUGGUGUUACUGCGAAGGGGGGACGGAGAAGGCUAUGUUGGCCGGGCGACGGUUGUCCCGGUUUAAGCGUGUAGGUGUGUGUUCCAGGUAAAUCCGGUUCACUUUAACACUGAGGCGUGACGACGAGGCACUACGGUGCUGAAGCAACAAAUGCCCUGCUUCCAGGAAAAGCCUCUAAGCAUCAGGUAACACGAAAUCGUACCCCAAACCGACACAGGUGGUCAGGUAGAGAAUACCAAGGCGCUUGAGAGAACUCGGGUGAAGGAACUAGGCAAAAUGGUGCCGUAACUUCGGGAGAAGGCACGCUGACACGUAGGUGAAGUGAUUUACUCAUGGAGCUGAAGUCAGUCGAAGAUACCAGCUGGCUGCAACUGUUUAUUAAAAACACAGCACUGUGCAAACACGAAAGUGGACGUAUACGGUGUGACGCCUGCCCGGUGCCGGAAGGUUAAUUGA